UACGGGGGGGGCAAGCGUUGUUCGGAUUUACUGGGCGUAAAGGGCGCGUAGGCGGCGCAACAAGUCACUUGUGAAAUCUCCGGGCUUAACUCGGAGCGGCCAAGUGAUACUGUCGUGCUAGAGUGCGGAAGGGGCAACUGGAAUUCUCGGUGUAGCGGUGAAAUGCGUAGAUAUCGAGAGGAACACCUGCGGCGAAGGCGGGUUGCUGGGCCGACACUGACGCUGAGGCGCGAAAGCCAGGGGAGCGAACGGG
rnacentral:rRNA from 1 species